rnacentral:rRNA from 1 species
AGAGUUUGAUCAUGGCUCAGAUUGAACGCUGGCGGCAGGCUUAACACAUGCAAGUCGAGCGGUAGGGGAGCUUGCUCCCUACGAGCGGCGGACGGGUGAGUAAUGUCUGGGAAACUGCCUGAUGGAGGGGGAUAACUACUGGAAACGGUAGCUAAUACCGCAUAACGUCGCAAGACCAAAGAGGUUCGUCUUGCCAUCAGAUGUGCCCAGAUGGGAUUAGCUAGUAGGUGGGGUAAUGGCUCACCUAGGCGACGAUCCCUAGCUGGUCUGAGAGGAUGACCAGCCACACUGGAACUGAGACACGGUCCAGACUCCUACGGGAGGCAGCAGUGGGGAAUAUUGCACAAUGGGCGCAAGCCUGAUGCAGCCAUGCCGCGUGUGUGAAGAAGGCCUUCGGGUUGUAAAGCACUUUCAGCGAGGAGGAAAGGUGGUGAG